rnacentral:tRNA from 1 species
GAGAUUUUAGUUUAAUAAAAAUGCUGGCCUGUCAGACCAGAGUCAUGGGUUAGAUUCCUGUAAUUCUCU